rnacentral:rRNA from 1 species
UAGGGAAUCUUCCACAAUGGGCGAAAGCCUGAUGGAGCAACGCCGCGUGUGUGAUGAAGGGUUUCGGCUACGUAAAACACUGUUGUAAGAGAAGAAUGACAUUGAGAGUAACUGUUCAAUGUGUGACGGUAUCUUACCAGAAAGGAACGGCUAAAUACGUGCCAG